ACAGGAUUAGAUACCCUGGUAGUCCACGCCGUAAACGGUGGGCACUAGUUGUGGGAACCUUCCACGGUCUCUGCGACGCAGCUAACGCAUUAAGUGCCCCGCCUGGGGAGUACGAUCGCAAGAUUAAAACUCAAAGGAAUUGACGGGGCCCCGCACAAGCAGCGGAGCAUGCGGCUUAAUUCGACGCAACGCGAAGAACCUUACCAAGGCUUGACAUAUACAGGAAUAUGGCAGAGAUGUCAUAGCCGCAAGGUCUGUAUACAGGUGGUGCAUGGUUGUCGUCAGCUCGUGUCGUGAGAUGUUGGGUUAAGUCCCGCAACGAGCGCAACCCUCGUUCUGUGUUGCCAGCAUUUAGUUGGGGACUCACAGGAGACUGCCGGGGUUAACUCGGAGGAAGGUGGGGAUGACGUCAAAUCAUCAUGCCCCUUAUGUCUUGGGCUGCACGCAUGCUACAAUGGCUGGUACAAACGGCUGCAAUACCGCAAGGUGGAGCGAAUCCGAGAAAGCCAGUCUCAGUUCGGAUUGGGGUCUGCAACUCGACCCCAUGAAGUCGGAGCUGCUAGUAAUCGCAGAUCAGCAACGCUACGGUGAAUACGUUCCCGGGGCUUGUACACACCGCCCGUCACGUCACGAAAGUCGGUAACACCCGAAGUCAGUGGCCCAACC
rnacentral:rRNA from 1 species